UCUGUUGCGAAGCAGAAUCUAGAGGAAGCCAGCGGCAAAUCUCUGGCCCGAGGACCACGAAUCCUAGGCGAGGCUAGUAACAGUUGGAUGAGCUUGCAAACCAAAGCAAAGUCCUUGCUAUCGAAGGCUGUUGUUAGUAAAUGGGGCGGGUAGAUGGAGAGAAAGACAACGUU
rfam:Desulfosporosinus orientis DSM 765, complete genome.